CCUACGGGAGACAGCAGUGAGGAAUAUUGGUCAAUGGGCGAGAGCCUGAACCAGCCAAGUCGCGUGAGGGAGUACUGCCCUAUGGGUUGUAAACCUCUUUUGUCGGGGAGCAAAAGCCGGACCUGUCCGGCUGUGAGAGCACACGAAGAAAAAGCAUCGGCAAACUCCGUGCCAGCGGCCGCGGUAUUACGGAGGAUGCGCGCGUUAUCCGGAUUUAUUGGGUGUAAAGGGGGCGCAGGCGGAAUAUUAAGUCAGCGGUCAAAUCGUGGGGCUCAACCCCAUCCAGCCGUUGAAACUGGGGAUCUAGAGGGGGCGAGAGGUAUGCGGAAUGCGUGGUGUAGCGGUGAAAUGCAUAGAUAUCACGCAGAACCCCGAUUGCGAAGGCAGCAUACCGGUGCACAACUGACGCUCAGGCACGAAAGCGUGGGUAUCGAACAGGAUUAGAUACCCCAGUAGUC
rnacentral:rRNA from 1 species